GCAGCAAGAGGAAGACAGUCAAAAGUGUACAUACACGCUUCGUACACCAGUUCUGAAUACUUGAUCCGACCUAUGGAAAGAGGACAAAGUCAAGGGUUGAACAGUGUCAUACCCAAAGAGACCCUAAGCAGGCUCUACUGGGAGGAAGGCUGCCAUUAUAACCUGCUCCUUGUCCAAUAUAGGGAGCUACUAGCAACAAUAUGAGCACAUGUAGCCCUGUCAAGUGGAGAACGACUAUCAAUAAAGUGAUGUGUGGGUACUGAACAAACUCA